UCCCAAGGGAUAGUUUUUAGAAAGUGCUCAGAAAGGAGCCACACAUUCAUACACACAUGAAAUAUUUCGAGGAUGAAGGGUGAUGGGGUUCAUCUCGAAUUUUGAUUCUUUAUUUUAUCUGCGUUUUCUUUUUCUUUUUCACACAUCAACUAGUUCUCAAAUUUGUGGAAAACUUUUGGGAAUUAAAAGGGAACAAAAGCAAAAAAGAAAUAAAAACAAGACCUCAGAGCAGAAAUAAGUGAUGGGGAAGAAGGGAGCAAUGGAAGAGUCAAAUCCAAUGUGCCCCUCCAUCCUCAUCCGAUCAGUUUUGGGGCACCGGAAAUGAGAUAAUGGAAAAAAGAUGUGUGAAUGCGU
ensembl:ncRNA C40H5.15 ncRNA